rnacentral:rRNA from 1 species
UACGAAGGGGCUAGCGUUGCUCGGAAUCACUGGGCGUAAAGCGCACGUAGGCGGAUCUUUAAGUCAGGGGUGAAAUCCCAAGGCUCAACCUUGGAACUGCCUUUGAUACUGGGGAUCUCGAGUCCGGAAGAGGUGAGUGGAACUGCGAGUGGUAGAGGUGAAAUUCGUAGAUAUUCGCAAGAACACCAGUGGCGAAGGCGGCUCACUGGUCCGGUACUGACGCUGAGGCGCGAA